GACGUAAUUUCCCGUUCCAAUUUCACUUCAGGCUUCAUGUGAAGACUAGAGUCAGUGGUGAGUUAUAACUGGCUCCAUGGAUCCAACCAUGAUUGACAGGUUGCAACUACCCACCAACCACCUCUUUAAACAACUUAACUCACCCAGACUCGGAUUCCCUGAAUAGGGCCCAAGCCCCGUCCCUCCUUCGGAGCUCGAGGACACACGAAUGUUUACCCUGUGCCAAGCGUGCGCACAUCGUCCACGUCUUUCCCACAAAUACGAGGAAGUGGAGUACAAGGCUGUCUUUGAUUGGACAGUUUGGUGAAAAUAAUAGCGGAGUCGGAGAGAGCUCCGCUCAGUUGAGAGUGGGGAAAGAAAAUCUUAGGAAGGACCAUUUCCUGAGAAGAGAGAGUGCUGGAUGGGGCAACAGAAGAAUUAUAGUGGUUUUGGUCCAGCACGGAUCAGAGACAUUUAAAGGAGUGGUGGGGCUACUGCGUUAUCCCGGCCGGGCACCGGAAGCCGAGGGGUGUGUGUGGCCACAGCACAGCCCCC